AAAAAGGUAAUUAAGGGCACUGAUAGUGGAUGCCUUGACAAUCAAUACCGAUGAAGGCCGUAGAAGUCUGCGAUAAGCCUCGGGGAUCUGACAGCGAGAAUUGAUCCGGGGAUUGCCGAAUGGGGAAACCUAAUAUGAGUCAUGUCAUAUUGUCGCUACCUGAACACAUAGGGUAGAUGAACGGGAACGGACCGAACUGAAUCAUCUUAGUAGGCCCAGGAAAAAAGAAUAACUAAUGAUUCCGAAAGUAGUGGCGAGCGAAAUUGGACUAGUCUAAACCUAAAGAUAACCAUACGGUUUAACGACCAGAGUUAUUAUAGGGGUUGCGAAAUUAGAUAAUUUUUAUGCUGAGUUGCCUUGACGGCAUUUCAGCAUAAAAACCAACAGCGUUAACUGAGUGGAUAAAGAUACAAUCCUUUAGAUCGUAGCAGAAGCUUCUGGAAUGGAGCACCAAAGAGGGUGAAAGUCC
rnacentral:rRNA from 1 species